rnacentral:rRNA from 1 species
AACGCUAGCUACAGGCUUAACACAUGCAAGUCGAGGGGCAGCAUGAUUGAAGCUUGCUUCAAUCGAUGGCGACCGGCGCACGGGUGAGUAACACGUAUCCAACCUGCCGAUAACUCGGGGAUAGCCUUUCGAAAGAAAGAUUAAUACCCGAUAGUAUAGUAUUUCCGCAUGGUUUCACUAUUAAAGAAUUUCGGUUAUCGAUGGGGAUGCGUUCCAUUAGAUAGUUGGCGGGGUAACGGCCCACCAUGUCAACGAUGGAUAGGGGUUCUGAGAGGAAGGUCCCCCACAUUGGAACUGAGACACGGUCCAAACUCCUACGGGAGGCAGCAGUGAGGAAUAUUGGUCAAUGGACGAGAGUCUGAACCAGCCAAGUAGCGUGAAGGAUGACUGCCCUAUGGGUUGUAAACUUCUUUUAUACGGGAAUAAAGUGGAGUAUGCAUACUCCUUUGUAUGUACCGUAUGAAUAAGGAUCGGCUAACUCCGUGCCAGCAGCCGCGGUAAUACGGAGGAUCCGAGCGUUAUCCGGAUUUAUUGGGUUUAAAGGGAGCGUAGGCGGGUGCUUAAGUCAGUUGUGAAAGUUUGCGGCUCAACCGUAAAAUUGCAGUUGAUACUGGGCGCCUUGAGUGCAGCAUAGGUAGGCGGAAUUCGUGGUGUAGCGGUGAAAUGCUUAGAUAUCACGAAGAACUCCGAUUG